rnacentral:lncRNA from 1 species
CAGUGAAGGAACUGCUGACCUCAGGUUAUAUUAGCAAGAGAAGAGAUGGAGCAAAAUGACCCAGUAACUCUAUCCUCAUCUUCAUGAGGAGGUGAGGGAGCUGGUCUCCAACUAGGAAAACAUUUGAUUCAGAGCUCAAGUAAUUGUCAGACUCAGCUCUGAGCGGCCUCUGCCUCACUGUCAACGGUAUCCCGACUCUGUACUUUCUGUCAUUUCUUUCCAGAAGCUUUUUAAAGUUGUACUUUUCUUUUCUCACCAGGAGACACCUUUCCCAAAUAUCCUUUUAAAAAUGACUGGAGAGGUGGCUCGGGCACUGACUGCUCUUCCAGAGGUCCUGAGUUCAAAUCCCAGUAGCCGCAUGGUGGCUCACAACCAUCUGUAAUGGGAUCUGACGCCCUCUUCUGGCCUGCAGGCGUACAUGCAGACAGAGCAUUCAUACAUUAAAAAAAAAAAGUACUUGAACAUGAAGCAAGUGUCCUGCACACAUUUAAUCACAGCACAUGGGAGGCAGAGGCAGGUGGAUCUCUUCAAGUUCAAGGCCAGCCAGGGCUGCGCUCGGCGAGACCCUAUCUUGAGGGGGAUAAAUAGUACUCGAGCACUUUAGCAAACUGAGCAUUUCACAGGUUACUCUGAAAGCCCAUCGCAGAGGGUCCUCCCUCAGAGGCCUUCACCUUGUCUUUCACUACCACUAAUCACAAUGACAGAUGUGACCCAGGAACUCAAGAGGUGGCAGCUGGCCUACAGCGCUCCCAGGGUGGCAUUUCCCCCACUUAGAGGAUCUCAGGGUUGAACCCACACAUGGUGAGGAUCUGCAGAGGAGCCACGGUGGGACCAUGCUGCUCUCUUUUCCACCCCACCGACAUCAGUAGAAACAACACCUUUGUAGAGGUAGAGGGGUAGAUAGAAUGGAGGUGAAGGGGAAUUUAAAUUAUAAUAAACUGCCCCGCAAUCUAAACUG